UUUUUUUUUUUUUUUUUUUUUUUUUAUAAAGAGUUUCAAAGACUCUUACAAGGCCAGGUGUGUGUUUACCUGUGAAGGGAGAGCAGAAAGGGACGGCACUAUACCGGGAGGAAGAGGCAGUUUUCACAGAGGGGGAAAAAAAAAUGUGUGUUCUGGAAUCUGUUACAGGCAUUUCUAAGAGCCAGCCCCCACCAUUUCCCCCCUUGUUCCUCCUGCGUGGAAACAAAAUAGCUCUUUUCCAAGCGGGUUGUUAUCAUAUUCAUGGCACGGUCAAUUUCCGUUUGCCAAGAAAAUAUUUAGUCUGAUCAAAGAAAUUAGAAAAUCGGAUGAAUAGAAACAGACGUUCCCACAAGAGAAGCGUUUGUCAAUGUGAAGAGUCAAGCAGACGGCGGCCCACCCAGUGACUGCCGGGAAUUAGCUCUCCAGCCAAAGGCGGAACUACAAGGCCACCUGGAUUCUGCUGGAGAGGCUGCCGAAGGAAGAGUCAGGUCUCCUCGGUGAAAAAGUUGACUGGAGACAAAGGGUUCUGUAUCUAUGCCCAAACCAAGAGUUCCGUCACAUCCACUCACCUAGAAGGAUCUUUCAAGAGAGCUCACUACUAAGUGGGAUCUAUCUGGUUUGGGAUCCUGAUGUCCUGCUUUGCUUGGUUUAAUUAUGCUUAUGAGAAGACAAGUACACAUUGUCCUCGUGCUCCCCGGCCAACUGCCCGGGAUUAAAAUAGAGAAUUUUCCUUGUCUUCGUUCUUCCUGGGUUAAGGAGCCGACAAACUUCGUGAGACCAUUUGCUGAGGUUCUUCGAGAAACCGCGGUUUUCUGUUUGCAGGUCCCAGGACACAGAGUGCGUAGCCUUCACUAGGAAAAGGGACCCGGAUUCCUUGUUGCCUGGAGCACCUCACUCGCCUGCAAAGUUCCUUACACCGACUCCUCCAAUUUGGGGAGGGAGAAGGCUAGGGAGGGCUAUACCUGAAGGAAAGGGACCAAGGGAGGAAGGGCUAGAAGGCUAAAGAAGCCCUUCUACCUUCUAAGACCCCCACGCCCAGGUCCCGCGGUUCGUGCCUGAGAAUGUGCUCUGCCACUCUGGUCCCUGCUCCUCCAAAUCCCGGCCCGGCCCUCCCGGUUCCUUUUUUGUUUCGGUUCCUGCAGGCCGAAGGCUGCUUUGCCAGGAAGACAGCGCCCUCUCUCUCCGCCAGCCUGUCUGUCGGCCUGCGCCCCCUCCCUGCUCGGCUGACCUCCGGGCGCCUCCCUCUGGUCCCCGCCCUCCCGCUCUGAGUCUCCUCCUUCUUCUAGCCGGUACUGCGAUCCGCCCUACUACUAAUUGCCCAUCAACUCGGGAGAGCAGCGGCCUGAGAGCCCGCCUGGGUUGGGGUCCGCGGCCACCGGGCUAGAGCGCCCUACCCCGGUCUGCACAACUGGGCGGAGCCGUCCCGGCACAGCAGCGGUGCCUGGGUCUGCGCAAGUGGAUGGGAAAGAACCUUGACAACACAAAACUCAUUUACUAAUGGACUGGUUUUGAGUUUCUCCUCCCUGGGUCCGCAAAUCUCCUUCCUGAUCCCUUGGCCUAGUCAGUCUUCGCAGUCAACGGCGUCCUGCACUGGGCAGGUGGGCGGCAGUUUUCGUGUGUUGCUCAGAAUCUGAACCUAGCUCCCCAAGGACGCCGGGCACCAGCGGCUUCCGUCCAAGGAGAGGAAGAAGAUGAACAUUGUUGCCUCGGCUCGGCUCGGAUCUGAGUCUCCGCAUUGCUGCAUAGAGAUGGCAUUAGUUUAUUGAGGAUGCCCUUGACUUCCAAAUCCGUAGGUAGGGGUAGGAGUCCUUUUUGAUGAUAAAGGAACUCCAAGAAACCCGGCUGGGAGCCUCAAGUCAUCUUGCUUCAAGUCAGAAGGAAAACAAGUAGGACCCAGAUACAGGAUUUUGAUUCAAGGCCUAUGUCGACCCAGCAGCUCUAUAUGUUGUCGCCUUGGCCUUUCGGAGCACCGCCUGUGUGCCUGGCCAUUACCAGCACUGUGGAGGCACCCUGAGCCUCUCCUCCAGAGGCACCCUACUAAGCCCGGAAGCUGCCAGGGCAGCAGCAAACAGACUAGAGUGGUUGGGUUUCCUUUAAAUUCCCGACGCAUCUCUGCUUUUUCAUGCGAUUUGCAUUGACAGCAAAGGUUUUAUAUUACAGAACAACUCCAACCUUUCUGUGCGCGAUUUAAAAUGGAUCAUUUGGUUUAUGUGGUUUGUAAAUUCAUGUCAUUUUACCUCUUUUAGUGGUUUUCAGUGAAAGGUUCCAUUUGGGGAAACCUUAUAUAUCCAAGCCAAUAAUUAUCAUUUAUAACAAUUGGUUCUCUUAACCGAGGGAUCCAAAUAGCAGGUAGGCUCCUUGGUACAAAGCGCACAGCACUUUUCCUUUUUAGUUAAGUGAUCUAUUGGAUUAAAUGGGAGGGAGUGAAAGGCUGGCGUGUCCAGCGCCCACCCCCACCUCCACCCCGCUCCCUCCUCUGCCUCUGAGAAAAAGUACCUCUCAUAACCUCGGUGCCGGUUAUCACAGAACUUAUGCCACUCCUCUUGCCAGUUGUCACCAGUGUCUGGUACAGUCCUGAUUCCUUUUGAAGAGAGAUUAAAUAAAAAAAAAAAAAAAAAAAAAGGGCCUGGGGGAUCUGGAGGAUGCCAGGGAAAUGGUAGUCAUAUACUACCAUUCAUUCCUGCUAUCCUCUGCAAAUGUAUACCUGUAGUUAUCUGUGACUUAUACCUCUCUUCCCUACAAAGACUGUUAAUUACAAAGUAUACUCUGCACUCAACGUACCGUUUGUCCUUUAAGUGACUGUGUUUAUAGCCCUCCUCCCAUUUUAAUUGUGCACACUUGUUCCAGACAUUAGGGUACUGAUUUUGAGAGCCCAUAUAAGUCCCCAUUCUGGUCCUCACACAGCUGCCAUGUCAAUAAGGACUGUUCCAAGCAGAGACAUUCCUCUUGGCAGGACACUGCCGUUCCUUAAGACUUCAUCUGAAACGUCAUGAGCACUAAAAUAAGACAGUGAGGGAAAAUUACCAGGCACAUAGCCUAGGGCUCAGCAGUGCCAGGCUUCUAGUUUAGAAAGUAAGCCAUUGGGCAUACCAUGUGGCAGGAGCUCUUUUGAAAUAAUACACACCCAUUAAAUGUAUUUUUUUUAAAAAAAGCCUAAAUGUAAUGAUGUAUCAGCAUCUGCUUUCAAGGUUUAAUUGCAUGGGAUAGCAUGAGUUCCAAAGAGGCAGAAAGCAUGGUGUGGGAAGAGCCUUUCUGUCUACUUGGAGUCUCCCAGGAGAAACAACCUCGAAGUGGGAACCCUUUAUGAGUUUGAAUUGCAUGUUACAGGGUGCGUUGGACUGGGUGCAUUAUUUUAAAACCAUAUAAAUAAUACAAGGGGAAACCCUUCUCUCACUUAGAGGUCAAAAUGCAAAACAGUUCUGUGGUGCAGUCUCUUUGGCUGAUGAAAUCAAAACACUGAAAGAAGACAAGCACGUUUAAAGAGCCCAAGGUUUGCUCCUGGCCAUUCUCUAAGAGGG
ensembl:lncRNA